UACAGAGGUGGCAAGCGUUGUUCGGAUUCAUUGGGCGUAAAGGGUCCGUAGGCGGUCCGGAAAGCCGGGUGUGAAAUCCCACAGCUUAACUGUGGAACUGCAUUCGAAACUCUCGGACUAGAGUAUGAGAGGGGUAAAGGGAAUUCCCGGUGUAAGGGUGAAAUCUGCAGAGAUCGGGAGGAACACCAGUCGCGAAGGCGCUUUACUGGCUCAUUACUGACGCUCAGGGACGAAAGCAAGGGGAGCAAACGGG
rnacentral:misc_RNA from 1 species